AGAGUUUGAUCAUGGCUCAGGAUGAACGCUAGCGGCAGGCCUAACACAUGCAAGUCGAGGGGCAGCACGUCUUCGGAUGGUGGCGACCGGCGCACGGGUGCGUAACGCGUAUGCAACCUACCUUUAACAGGAGCAUAGCUCCGAGAAAUCGGGAUUAAUACUCCAUAACACUAAGAAGUGGCAUCACUUUUUAUUUAAAGCUCCGGCGGUUAAAGAUGGGCAUGCGUGACAUUAGUUAGUUGGUGAGGUAACGGCUCACCAAGACUACGAUGUCUAGGGGUUCUGAGAGGAUUAACCCCCACACUGGUACUGAGACACGGACCAGACUCCUACGGGAGGCAGCAGUGAGGAAUAUUGGUCAAUGGACGCAAGUCUGAACCAGCCAUGCCGCGUGAAGGAUGAAGGCCUUAUGGGUUGUAAACUUCUUUUAUACGGGAAUAAACUUAGUUAUGUAUAGCUAACUGCAGGUACCGUAUGAAUAAGCACCGGCCUAACUCCGUGCCAGCAGCCGCGGUAAUACGGAGGGUGCAAGCGUUAUCCGGAUUAUUGGGUUUAAAGGGUCCGCAGGCGGACCUAANAAGUCAAGUUGNNUNAAUCUCUUCGGGUUCAACNGGGGAAACUGCCCAUNGAUCUNGUUANCUGGAGUGUANUUGCNGUAGGCNGGAAUGUACCAUNGNACNGUGAANUGCUUANAAUGAUCCNGNACNACGAUUGUAAAGNUGGGUUNNGAACUCNACUGACCUUUAGGACNAAANUGNGGNANCNACAGGAUNNNUCCUGGAGCCNNCUUAANANAUUCC
rnacentral:rRNA from 1 species